CUCUUUUUAAUAUGAUAACAUUAUCUUAAACCUUAACUGGAGGAUAAUGUAAGAUGUAGAAGAG
rfam:Stegodyphus mimosarum contig119135, whole genome shotgun sequence.